UAUUCUUCAUGAUCCUUGGUUCAAUAAGGACACAGGAUUCCCAAUGACAGAAAGAGAUCGAUUGGGUCUGCGCGGUCUCCUCCCACCUCGUGUAAUAUCAUUUGAACAGCAAUAUGACCGCUUCAUGGAGUCAUUUCGGUCACUUGAGAAAAAUACUGAGGGUCAACCAGAAAGUGUUGUCUCGUUAGCAAAAUGGAGGAUCUUAAACAGGCUGCAUGACAGGAAUGAGACACUGUACUACCGAGUUCUAAUUGACAAUAUCAAAGAUUUUGCUCCCAUAAUAUACACUCCAACAGUAGGAUUGGUUUGCCAAAACUACUCUGGCUUGUUUAGACGUCCACGUGGCAUGUAUUUCAGUGCCAAAGAUAAGGGAGAGAUGAUGUCAAUGAUCUUCAACUGGCCUUCCACUCAGGUAGACAUGAUUGUCCUGACAGAUGGAAGUCGUAUUCUUGG
rnacentral:misc_RNA from 1 species